rnacentral:tRNA from 2 species
GCCAUCCUAGCUCAGUUGGUAGAGCAAUUCAUUCGUAAUGAAUAGGUCGUCGGUUCGAGUCCGAUGGAUGGCUCCA